GGCUCAGGAUGAACGCUAGCGGCAGGCUUAAUACAUGCAAGUCGAACGGGAUUCGGGGUAGCAAUACUUUGAUGAGAGUGGCGCACGGGUGCGUAACGCGUAUGCAACCUACCUUUAACAGGGGAAUAGCCCCGAGAAAUCGGGAUUAAUACUCCGUAACAUUGCGGUGUGGCAUCACACUGCACUUAAAGCUGAGGCGGUUAAAGAUGGGCAUGCGUGACAUUAGCUAGUUGGUGAGGUAACGGCUCACCAAGGCAACGAUGUCUAGGGGUCCUGAGAGGGUUAUCCCCCACACUGGUACUGAGACACGGACCAGACUCCUACGGGAGGCAGCAGUAAGGAAUAUUGGUCAAUGGGCGCAAGCCUGAACCAGCCAUGCCGCGUGCAGGAAGACGGCCCUAUGGGUUGUAAACUGCUUUUGUCAGGGAAUAAACCCCCGCUCGUGAGCGGGGCUGAAGGUACCUGAAGAAUAAGCAUCGGCUAACUCCGUG
rnacentral:rRNA from 1 species